rnacentral:rRNA from 1 species
CCUACGGGAGGCAGCAGUGGGGAAUAUUGCACAAUGGGGGAAACCCUGAUGCAGCGACGCCGCGUGAGUGAAGAAGUAUUUCGGUACGUACAGCUCUAUCAGCAGGGAAGAAAAUGACGGUACCUGACUAAGAAGCCCCGGCUAACUACGUGCCAGCAGCCGCGGUAAUACGUAGGGGGCAAGCGUUAUCCGGAUUUACUGGGUGUAAAGGGAGCGUAGACGGCAGCGCAAGUCUGGAGUGAAAUCCCAUGGCUUAACCAUGGAACUGCUUUGGAAACUGUGCAGCUAGAGUGCAGGAGAGGUAAGCGGAAUUCCUAGGGUAGCGGUGAAAUGCGUAGAUAUUAGGAGGAACACCAGUGGCGAAGGCGGCUUACUGGACUGUAACUGACGUUGAGGCUCGAAAGCGUGGGGAGCAAACAGGAUUAGAUACCCUAGUAGUC